rnacentral:rRNA from 1 species
UGGGGAAUCUUGGACAAUGGGCGCAAGCCUGAUCCAGCCAUGCCGCGUGGAUGAUGAAGGCCUUAGGGUUGUAAAAUCCUUUCGUGGGGGACGAUAAUGACGGUACCCCAAGAAGAAGCUCCGGCUAACUUCGUGCCAGCAGCCGCGGUAAUACGAAGGGGGCUAGCGUUGUUCGGAUUUACUGGGCGUAAAGCGCGUGUAGGCGGAUUUGUAAGUUGGGGGUGAAAUCCCGAGGCUCAACCUCGGAACUGCCUCCAAAACUACAAGUCUGGACCUAAGUAGAGGCAAGUGGAAUUGCGAGUGUAGAGGUGAAAUUCGUAGAUAUUCGCAGGAACACCAGUGGCGAAGGCGACUUGCUGGACUUAUGGUGACGCUGAGACGCGAAAGCGUGGGGAGCAAACAGGAUUAGAUACCCACGUAGUCCCUGAGCGGGCUGGCAAGGCGCAU